ensembl:lncRNA
CAUGUUGCAAUUGGUCACAAGACUUGCAAGAACCAGUGGUAGUUCACUGACAUCAAAGCUGACACAACAAAUCUGACAUCUUGAUGCAAUAGAAUAAAUUAUAACAUGCACCAAUGCAAAUCAAAGAACCAAUGCAAAUCUGAGCGCUACAGAGGAGACUUUCUCUAAAAUAUAGGGAGAGCGUGCAUCUUUGUGAUGAAACUACUUUUAGAUAAUGUGACUCUUUGAACAUGAUCUUCACGUUUGUCUAGAUUACACUGUCAAACUGCAGAAAUGUCACAGGAAAGGUUUGUCUUUGUACCACCAGCAAGCUGGCUGAUUGGUAUUAUGGGACUAUUGUAAUAUUUGUACUGAUAAUCUUGGUAGUUGAUAUGGGAUAAUGCCACACAUACCAGACAAGACACACUGGAGACAGAAUGUGGGAGAUGUUUUAAGUAUAAUGUCAAUGUGAAAUCAAAAUUUACUUUAUAAAAGCAUCUUCCUGUCCACAAUUAAUCGGUAAAUGUUAUUCCAAAGAAAAAAUGACUUUUAUAAUUUAUGCAUUUGGAAGACACUUUUAUCCAAAGCUUAUCUAGGCUAUAUUAAAUUAUAUAGCUACUGUUUAAAGCUGCAUUUAUAAAUUUGAGCUAUUAAUUUUGCCCAUAUUCUUUGGGACUCAGACUUAUGACUUUGGUGUUGCUGUAGCAUCAUUCUCUACCACUUUCCCAAUCCAAUUAUUUCCCAAUGGAAUAAUUCAAGUUUACUCUCUUCCUUUUCCUCAGUCAAUAUCCUGUUUUAUAACAGAAUUCGAACUGGUUUCAAAAAAAAAAAAAAAAAAAUCAUGUUAUUCUAAAAAUAUCUGAAUUUAAUUUCAUUAACAUAAUUUUGUUGGGUUUCUGUUUCAGAUAAGAGAAAUGGAGGCAUACUUUCAUUAUUGCGUCGGCAGAUAAGAGCGUGAUUUAAUGGCUUGACCCUUAACCUCAGACAUAUGCAGUGCCGCUUCAUCUCUCUGCUCCAUCUUUAUCAGUCAGAGCUCAGCUGCUCUCACAAGACUGCCAGCUCAGAGAGGACCCGGAGGUUGAGCUGUGCACGCUGUCCUAUUAGCUGUCAGAGAUCUGGCUGAUCACCCUCUCAGCGCUGGAUGAUGUUGUGCUUAUGAAUAAAGGUCAGAGGUUGACUGCCUCCUGCCA